rnacentral:rRNA from 1 species
CCUACGGGAGGCUGCAGUGAGGAAUAUUGGUCAAUGGACGAGAGUCUGAACCAGCCAAGUAGCGUGAAGGAUGACUGCCCUAUGGGUUGUAAACUUCUUUUAUAUGGGAAUAAAAUGUUCCACGUGUGGGAUUUUGUAUGUACCCUAUGAAUAAGGAUCGGCGAACUCCGUGCCAGCAGCCGCGGUAAUACGGAGGAUCCGAGCGUUAUCCGGAUUUAUUGGGUUUAAAGGGAGCGUAGGUGGAUUGUUAAGUCAGUUGUGAAAGUUUUCGGCUCAACCGUAAGAUUGCAGUUGAAACUGGCAGUCUUGAGUACAGUAGAGGUGGGCGGAAUUCGUGGUGUAGCGGUGAAAUGCUUAGAUAUCACGAAGAACUCCGAUUGCGAAGGCAGUUCACUGGACUGCAACUGACACUGAGGCUCGAAAGUGUGGGUAUCAAACAGGAUUAGAUACCCCAGUAGUC